AUUUGCUCUUUGGUCGGAUCUUUGAUUGUUCUUCUCUGGCUUCUAUCUUUGGUGCUUCUCUUUCAUUGGAGACUUUCAUCUCGCAUGUAUCCAAUGAACUAAUGCAGCAUGUGCUAGUUUUCGAGGGCGUUGUGUCCCCAAGGAAUAAGAGUCUUGUUGAGCUAGCCUGUCAUGUUCUCAGGGCCUGGUUGAGCUAACAUGCCCCAGUCUUGGGAGUGCAACGACGUCACAGGGACAUAUUAAUGCCAAAUGCUUUAAGUAAUGAACUAUUCUGAGCACUCUGCAGUUGAAAUCAAUGGCAAGUCUACUAUCCUGAGUUUCUGGAGUCCUGCGCAGUUGAUCAUGAUGUCGAACAAUGAUGUCAAGUAGGAUCUUGUUUCCUUAAAUUAAUGUUUGCGUGGUUGAUCAUGCUGUUGAACAAUGAUGUCAAGUGUAGUUAUAUUUGGUUAUGAAGUUGUAGCUGGAUCUUAUUUUCUUAAAUUAAUAUUGGAACUAGUGAUUGUUUUAGUUGAUGUAUUUGCUCUAGUAGCGCCUACACUGUAAUAAGGGUUAGAUAGAGGUGCUCUUUGCUC